AGUGAACGCUGGCGGUAGGCCUAACACAUGCAAGUCGAACGGCAGCACAGUAAGAGCUUGCUCUUACGGGUGGCGAGUGGCGGCCGGGUGAGGAAUACAUCGGAAUCUACUUUUUCGUGGGGGAUAACGUAGGGAAACUUACGCUAAUACCGCAUACGACCUACGGGUGAAAGCAGGGGAUCUUCGGACCUUGCGCGAUUGAAUGAGCCGAUGUCGGAUUAGCUAGUUGGCGGGGUAAAGGCCCACCAAGGCGACGAUCCGUAGCUGGUCUGAGAGGAUGAUCGGCGACACUGGAGCUGAGACACGGUCCAGACUCCUACGGGAGGCAGCAGUGGGGAAUAUUGGACAAUGGGCGCAAGCCUGAUCCAGCCAUACCGCGUGGGUGAAGAAGGCCUUCGGGUUGUAAAGCCCUUUUGUUGGGAAAGAAAAGCAGCAGGUUAAUACCCCGCUGUUCUGACGGUACCCAAAGAAUAAGCACCGGCUAACUUCGUG
rnacentral:rRNA from 1 species